rnacentral:rRNA from 1 species
CCUACGGGUGGCAGCAGUGGGGAAUAUUGCACAAUGGGGGAAACCCUGAUGCAGCGACGCCGCGUGAGUGAAGAAGUACUUCGGUAUGUAAAGCCCUAUCACCAGGGAAGAAAAUGACGGUACCUGAGUAAGAAGCCCCGGCUUACUACGUGCCAGCAGCCGCGGUAAUACGUAGGGGGCAAGCGUUAUCCGGAUUUACUGGGUGUAAAGGGAGCGUAGACGGGAGUGCAAGUUUGGAGGUAAAGGCGGGGGCUCAACCUGGGGACGGCACUGGAAACUGGACUGCUGGAGUGCAGGAGAGGUAGGUGGAAUUCCUAGUGUAGCGGUGAAAUGCGUAGAUAUUAGGAGGAACACCAGUGGCGAAGGCGGCUUGCUGGACUGUAACUGACGCUGAGGCUCGAAAGCGUGGGGAGCAAACAGGAUUAGAUACCCCUGUAGUC